rnacentral:rRNA from 1 species
AUUGAACGCUGGCGGCAGGCCUAACACAUGCAAGUCGAGCGUGCGGCGGACGGGUGAGUAAUGUCUGGGAAACUGCCUGAUGGAGGGGGAUAACGUCUGGAAACGGUAGCUAAUACCGCAUACCAUCAGAUGUGCCCAGAUGGGAUUAGCUAGUAGGUGGGGUAACGGCUUACCUAGGCGACGAUCCCUAGCCGGUCUGAGAGGAUGAACGGCCACACGUGAACUGAGCCACGGUCCAGACUCCUACGGGAGGCAGCAGUGGGGAAUUGUGCACAAUGGGCGAAAGCCUGAUCCAGCCAUGCCGCGUGUGUGAAGAAGGCCUUCGGGUUGUAAAGCACUUUCAGCGGGGAGGCGUUACCCGCAGAAGAAGCACCGGCUAACUCCGUGCCAGCAGCCGCGGUAAUUC